rnacentral:rRNA from 1 species
CCUACGGGAGGCAGCAGUAAGGAAUAUUGGUCAAUGGGCGCAAGCCUGAACCAGCCAUGCCGCGUGCAGGAAGACGGCCCUACGGGUUGUAAACUGCUUUUGUACCGGAAUAAACCCCCGAUCGUGAUCGGGGCUGAAUGUACGGUAAGAAUAAGGAUCGGCUAACUCCGUGCCAGCAGCCGCGGUAAUACGGAGGAUCCAAGCGUUAUCCGGAUUUAUUGGGUUUAAAGGGUGCGUAGGCGGCCUGUUAAGUCAGGGGUGAAAGACGGUAGCUUAACUAUCGCAGUGCCUUUGAUACUGACGGGCUUGAAUGUACUUGAGGUAGGCGGAAUGUGACAAGUAGCGGUGAAAUGCAUAGAUAUGUCACAGAACACCAAUUGCGAAGGCAGCUUACUAAAGUAUGAUUGACGCUGAGGCACGAAAGCGUGGGGAUCAAACAGGAUUAGAUACCCUGGUAGUCCACGCCCUAAACGAUGAAUACUCGAUGUUGGCGAUAUACGGCCAGCGUCUAAGCGAAAGCGUUAAGUAUUCCACCUGGGGAGUACGCCCGCAAGGGUGAAACUCAAANAGAGUAGAGCGUGAGACGUGCCGACGGACGACGACGAGGGAGGAGG